AUCCAUCCCAAAGCCAAGCCACUGAAAAAAAUCCUCCUACUCCAAAGGCUGCACAAGGUGACAACGCCUCCUCUAAUAACAAACUUUACUCACAUGGUUUGGCCUGCCAAUUUUUCUCAUCUAGUAAAUCACGUAUUCUUCAAAUGUGCUUUGGGACUAGCAGGGGGAGGAGGUGAGAAAAGUUGAACAGUGUGGCUGAUGAAGGAAGAGCUGCUUCUUCGAACCAACAGGCUGAACACACAAUACAAAACAUGCCAGGACAGGAAGAACACCUCUCACACAUGAGCUCCCAGAGUUACAAGACCAAGAGAACAAGAAUGCCGCUUCCAUUCAUCAUGGGAUUGCACGCAGGGGGAAGAUAUGCACAGCUAACAGUGAAAGAGUAAAGCUCUCUGAAGAUUGAUUCAAUUAAUCUGCAAAAUGUUUCAAGAUUUUCAGACCAAAAUUUAUGGAGGAGCAUUAUAAAUGAACACUUCUGCAACGGCCAAUGGAAAAAAAAAA